GACGAACGCUGGCGGCGCGCCUAACACAUGCAAGUCGAACGGAGUCAAGAGGAGCUUGCUUUUCUUGACUUAGUGGCGAACGGGUGAGUAACGCGUGAGUAACCUGCCCUGGAGUGGGGGACAACAGUUGGAAACGACUGCUAAUACCGCAUAAGCCCACGGAUCCGCAUGGAUCUGCGGGAAAAGGAUUUAUUCGCUUCAGGAUGGACUCGCGUCCAAUUAGCUAGUUGGUGAGGUAACGGCCCACCAAGGCGACGAUUGGUAGCCGGACUGAGGUUGAACGGCCACAUUGGGACUGAGACACGGCCCAGACUCCUACGGGAGGCAGCAGUGGGGGAUAUUGCACAAUGGGGGAAACCCUGAUGCAGCGACGCCGCGUGGAGGAAGAAGGUUUUCGGAUUGUAAACUCCUGUCGUUAGGGACGAUAAUGACGGUACCUAACAAGAAAGCACCGGCUAACUACGUG
rnacentral:rRNA from 1 species